CUAGCGAGGUGUUGCUGAGGAACACACUGUUACUAAAGGACCUAGCGAGGUGUUGCUGAGGAACACACUGUUACUAAAUCCUUUGAGAACUGUGCCUUAUGAAGGACAUGCUUGGUUUUAAAGGUUUUUAUUUAGAAUUAAGAAUGAAUUAUGUUUUGUAUUGUUUACAGAGGAGAAUGUUUUUGCAGUAGAGUUGAACAUCAGAACACUGAGCUGUUGCAAAAGCAGGAUCAGUAAGUUAAGCCAGAUAACUCUUAUUAGGGGUAAAAUAUAGUUCUUGAUUUACUGAUAUAUUUAUAAAGCUGAACUUGAAUAUGGUUGUCAAGUCAGUUACAAUACAAUGAUGCCAGGUAUACCUUGACGUUAUUGCCAUGAUGCCAGUUAUACCUUGACGUUAUUGCCAUGAUGCUAGGUUAUCCUUGACGUUAUUGCCAUGAUGCUAGGUUAUCCUUGACGUUAUUGCCAUGAUGCUAGGUUAUUCUUGACGUUAUUGCCAUGAUGCCAGGUGUACCUUGACGUUAUUGCCAUGAUGCCAGUUAUACUUUGAUGUUAUUGCCAUGAUGCCAGUUAUACCUUGACGUUAUUGCCAUGAUGCUAGGUUAUCCUUGACGUUAUUGCCAUGGUGCUAGGUUAUCCUUGGCGUUAUUGCCAUGAUGCCAGUUAUACCUUGACGUUAUUGCCAUGAUGCUAGGUUAUCCUUGACGUUAUUGCCAUGAUGCUAGGUUAUCCUUGGCGUUAUUGCCAUGAUGCUAGGUUAUCCUUGACGUUAUUGCCCCAAUGCCAGGUAUACCUUAACGUUAUUGCCAUGAUGCCAGUUAUACCUUGACAUUUUUGCCAUGAUUCCAGUUAUACCUUGACGUUAUUGCCAUGAUGCCAGGUAUACCUUGACGUUAUUGCCAUGAUGCCAGUGUCAAGUCUCUGACAUUAUUUAGAGCGUUUGUUAGUCGGCUAACUGGUUGAUCCUGCGGUCUGGAACAGCCCCACGUCUCUGUUCAACCACCAGACCUCCAUGUUUUAAUAAACACUCUGAACCACCAGACAGACAUGUUUUAAUAAACACUCCGAACCACCAGACCUCCAUGUUUUAAAUCAAAUCAAAUCAAAUUGUAUUUGUCACAUACACAUGGUUAGCAGAUGUUAAUGCGAGUGUAGCGAAAUGCUUGUGCUUCUAGUUCCGA
ensembl:lncRNA